GAUGAAGAACGUAGUGAAAUGCGAUAAGUAGUGUGAAUUGCAGAAUUCAGUGAAUCAUCGAAUCUUUGAACGCACAUUGCGCCCUUUGGUAUUCCUUAGGGCAUGCCUGUUCGAGCGUCAUUUGAAACCUCAAGCUCAGCUUGGUGUUGGGUGUCUGUCCCCGCCUCCGCGGGGACUCGCCUCAAAAUCAUUGGCGGCCGGUACGUUGGCUUCGAGCGCAGCAGAAACGCGAACUCGAGGCCCGGCGGAUCGGCGACCAGAAGUCUCUUCUUCACAGUUUGACCUCGGAUCAGGUAGGGAUACCCGCUGAACUUAAGCAUAUCAAUAAGCGGAGGA
rnacentral:misc_RNA from 1 species